CAAAGAAGAAGAAGCGGCACUCGUGACGUGAGAGCAUUCUCGAUAGGCGCCAAUUUUGCAGAUGUGGAAACUAACGUUCGUUGACAGACUGACUACAUUUGUAUCUGGAGCCUCGCUACGUUUUUGGAGUAAGUUAAUAAUAAGUGGAACCUCUCAUUGCAUCAAAGAUAGAGCAGACCUUCUCAAUGCGAAGACAUGAGAUUGUGGGCAGAUGGAGCAGUGGAGCUCUUUUUACAGAGAGACAAGUGUUUGCAGAGUUUGACAGGAUAGUCACCACAGAUCUGCAGACAGCAGAGUAACUUUAAUGGUGCUGUGGAUCUCUACACACCACGCUUUGUCACAAUCUUCAAGUCUUCAAGAAGCAUUGGAGAGAAAUUGGAUGGGCUUAUGCAGCAAAUUAAUACAGAGGUAUGUGAUGUUGAUGAAGCCUGGGCACAAGUAUCUGUUGGGGACUGUCAUUGAUGAAGAACUUCUCUCUCUCUAACUCUCUGUCUACUGCCAUCAUUGUUGAGAGAGGUAUUGUAAUGGAUAAUCUGCAGAACCUGCCUCAGGUAAUUUGCAUCUAUUUUGGUCAGUCUUAUGCUUUAAAUUUGGAUUUCGCAAAAGAAAUAAACACUUUUAACUUCAUUCAGAAAUUGAUGCUUGGUUUGGGACAAAACAAACUCCCAACAAAACGGCAAUCUCUGAAAAAUUACUUUGUCUUUCUUACAUUUCUUGGGCUUUAAAGUGCUAGAUGCCUAGGCUGAACCAUUGGUCACCCAGUAUCAUGCUAUUAGAUCAUAACGAUAAACCCAGGCAUAGCCUUUAGCAACUCGCUAUCAUGGCAAAAUGUCAUGACCACAACAUCAUUGCAAGUUUCAAGGCCCAGAAAGGUAGUAAAAACAUUGUAAAAAUAGUCCAUGUGACUACAGUAGUUCAGCCUUAAUAUUAUGAAGCGAGUCUCUUUAUCAUCUUUAUGAGUAAUAUUAUGAUCUCUUCUCUUCAAUGUCAUUCUCCUACACUGUUGAUGUAGUGUAAACAGCCCAGUGCUUCUGGGUUCUACGUCAGAGCAUAGGCUUAUUAUUGGCCAGCAUCACACAUGACUAGCGUUGGCCAAUAGUGAGAGAGCGUUCGGAAGAAUGAAUGUCUGAAGAAUGUCUGUAGAACCCAGAAGCACUGGGCUGUUUACACUACAUCAACCCAUUAGUUGGAUUAUUUUUAUUAAUUUGCAAUGACGUUGUAGUCAAUGGAGGGACCGAAAGCUCUCAGAUUUCAUCAAAAAUAUCUUUAUUUGUGUUCCGAAGAUGAACGAAUGUCUUGGGGGUUUGGAGCGAAGUUUUUCGGGUGACUAUCCGUUUAAGAUGCUGUCGGCAUAUUCAUUUCUAAUGUACAUGUGUGACAGAGACAGGGUCUCCGAAGUGUUAUUGAUUAAAGUGAUUAAUUGUUAUUUAUUGAAUUACUGUUUGUUGAGGAUGUGUUAGUCAGGGUAUGGUCUCAAAUAUAUUUAUUUUUAUUCAGAUUUUAUAUUUUAAAAAAUAUGUUGUUGUACUUAAAUGUUUUUGGGUAACACUUACAAUAAGGUUAAUUAGUUAAACAUUUCCUAAAACAUUAAAACCAAUGAUUGUAUUGGUUAACAUUAGUUAAUGCACUGUGAACUAACAUGAACAUUAUUAUUAACUAACAUUAUUUAUUACUUAAUUUAUUAGAGUAAAGCUUACUUGCUAUUUUUAAGGCAAUCAGUUUGCGUGGUUUUAACAAGUAAACUGGAUUGCUUUUGAAGUAAAGUAAACUCAACUAGCAUAAAUGAGUACAUCUAAACUAAAUGAAAUUAGUUUUAAGUUACUGGAGCUCUCAUGUAAGUGUACACUACUAGACAUGCACAUUCCUAUUUCACUUUACUCAGUUUUUUUCAAGGCAAUUGGUUUGCAUGCUUUUUUCAAGUUUACUAAUUGAAUUUUACAGCUUUGUUUUAAUAUGCUUACCAACUGGUGUGAUGUGAUGCAUUGCUGUAAUUUUUGUAACAAUCGUUUGCUUUCCUUUUGCAUUUGGAGUUAAUAAAGCAAUAUUAAGAGCAUGUUUGUUGUACCGGAUUUAUUAAAUGUAUCUCCGUUUCAGAGCUUAUUUUUAGAAAUAGUCUCGAUUGAGACAUCCAUGUUAGUUCUUAGUUACUUAUUUUAAUACUUUAAAUACUUAUUUUAAACCAAACCUUUCUUUCAAAAUAAGCCUGACACUCUUAUAAUGUAUAUAUAUAUUCUUAAAUCAAGAUAUUUUAAACCAAACCUUUCCCUAAAAAUAAGCCCGAAACCCUUAAAAUGUGUAUAUAUAUUCUUAUAUCAAGAUCAUUUAAACCAAACUUUUCUCUCAAAAUAAGCCUGAAACCCUU